CAGCUGGUGUUACUGGGCAGCUACAUUAAACUUCCCAUGGGAUUCAGCUGGAAGGAAUGUGCUGGGCUGACGUAAUUCACUUUUUUCUCCACGGGGUCAUUGUGCACUGGUGCAGGCUGCCUGGGGCAGUGGUCCUGCCACCAAGACUGCUAGAGUGCAAGGAGGGGUUGGAAAAGUGACAUGUGCACUCUGAGUGCAUAUGGAACUAACAAAUAUGCUGUGGAUUGUAAAUGAAGACAUAUGGUUCCUAAAGCCAGUGCAGGUAAAUGAAAGAUGAAGAUUGUGUGUCUUAUCUUCUGCAAACUGUGUCAUGGUGAAGCCUAGCUGGACUGUGUUUGAACUUUCUCAUGCACAUUUCUAGUUACCAUUUUCACUAAAGAAAAAGAGAGAAAAACAAACAAAGCAAUUAUGGGGAAAAAAAACACUUUUUUCUUCUUUUGACAUUCUAAUAACUGCUUUUAGAAGUACAGUACAACAGUUUCUUUUAAUAAAUAAUGCAAAAGUAGCAAUAUCAUACGCUUUGUGCUGGAAUAGACGCUGCAUAACUUUAACUCUUCAUAGUCAAAGAAAAAGAAAGCAUUCAGUCUCUCUAGCAUUUCUAUGUUUCUGGAUCAUCUGGCAGAAAGUGCUGUAUAAGGAGCACAGCUGGGUCAUUUUCUCCCAGGAGAACUGAAUGCAAUACCCUGGUGUCAGACUCAGCUGGCUGAAAACAGUGCAUGCCCAGAGAGGUCUCCCAGUUGCCUGCAAUGCUUUUUUAAUCUUUCUUGCACUAACUGUAAUGAGUUGAGCAUUUCAGAUUGAUUAGUAAGUAUUCUAAUAGCUUUCAAACAUAUGUCAGUUUAUUACACUUAAUAACUUAAGAACAGUUUAUUUGAGAAAAACUUGGUACAGGUAAAAAUGCAUAGUUGAGUGAUUCUAAAACCACAAGACCCCAAAAUGUCAUUCUUCUGAUAUUGUUCUUUGGGUAUCAGUAAUUUACAAUUGUACGGUGUAUAUGGGAUUUUAACUUAGUUUUUGGAACCAAAAUGGCCCAAAUCUCUCUGAAUGGACCUGUGGAUUUCCAUGUACUUUGAUGAAAGAUAGUGACAAUCAUUAAAUUGGAUUGACAGGCAUUGCUGUGGGACAAUGGCAGAAUUUAGCACUUUCAGUCACAAAGACAGAAAGAACUACUGCAACUAUCAUCCCCAAGUCUUGUGACUGUAUUUGCGCACCAGGUAAAUUAUGUCAAUUAAGAAAGAACAAGUGGAAACUGAGUUAUGAAGCAACAGUAUCAUGAUAAUUUUCAGUAAUAUUCUGUCAGAUUGUCAGAGUAAAGCAUGGAUCUGUACAUUAGUAAGGAUAUUAAAUAUGUACCCAACUUUUCUCACUGUACUCAUUACAAAAUAGUAACCACUGCUUAUCAGUUUGGUGCACAAUGUAACUGGCUGCUCCUGUGGUGGCAAGAGCACUUCAGAUGUAUCAGAUGAUGGUAGAUAAGGAAACUGUGAACAGUAUGUAGUGAUAUAUUGAUUCUGCCUGUUAAAGAUCUGAAAUCCUCAACUAUGUCUCUCUAUAUCAUGUCAAUGUAUUGAAUAAGUCUCAAAAUACAUUGAACAACUGAAAAUAAAAGAAUUUGGAGAAGGAAAGGAGUAAAGAAGGCCACUAGCUUUACAAGUAAUAUUAUUUGUCUGAUUACAAUUACCCCUGUGUAUUGUAAUGCAUAUUUUCUGCCCAUUAGCUUCCUGUAUGAGCUUCAGGCUUUGAGUUUUGGCUGGGAAGAUUGAGAACUCAUCCACCAAGGACAGCAGUUCUUUCUCCCAUUGAUAACUGUAACAGCCAAGCGGAAACAGAAAAAGCUAUCAAUUCCAAGGCUUCAUAGAAGAAAAGAACAAAUAGCCUGGCUUUUUCAAACAAAUGAAUCCUUCCCUUUCAUCUUUUUCCAAAUAAGUGUUCUAAGUGAGAAUUUGGUUAUGUGAAAUUAUAUCUGUAGAGUUUCCAGAUUUAUAAAAAACAUGUGUUUUGUUUCAAUUCAUAUUGAUCUAAAACCAAACAUUUCCAGAACUCUCAAGAAACAUGCAAUGGUAGCCACAAAAAUCUAUUACUUAUUCAUCUAUUAAACAUAGAACUAACCAACUACUAGGUUAGAGCGUAUGUGCAAUAUUUAGAUGCAUUCUUUCCUGGGAUAGCAAUUUAUUUCAGUUAUUAGGUACUUCUCAGGACAGGGCAUGGUAAUAGUGAAGUAGCAGCUUUGGUUUCUAUUUUUGCUGUUGUUUGGCAUUUUUUGUUGUCCACCAAAAUCAGUAUUUUGUUUUGU